UACGAAAGGGGAUAGCGUUGUGCGGAAUUACUGGGCGUAAAGCGCCAGUAGGCGGCACUGUAAGUUGGGGGUGAAAACGCGGAUCUCAACUCCGGAUCUGCCUCCAAAACUGGUGCCCUGGAGCAGGACAGAGGGCAGUUGAAUUCCGUGUGUAGAGGUGAAAUUCGUAGAUAUUCGGUGGAACACCAGUGGCGAAGGCGACUUGCUGGGUCCUAGCUGACGCUAAGACACGAAAGCGUGGCGAGCAAACAGG
rnacentral:rRNA from 1 species